CUCCACCUUCUGAGACAAUAGAUCACAUGACCUCUCUGGACUUCCGUUCUCUCAACUAACUAAAUAAUUCAUGGGAUAAUCCCAAAUCCUUUCUAGUCUUUUUAUUUUUAAAGUUGAAAGGAUUUUCUUUAAAGACCAUAGUAGAGAAGCAAAAAGAGUGGGCCAAGAAUGUCUGAAGGUGCAUGAAGGUAGGAAGAUGCAAGAAGAGCACCGAGCAGCAUGACCUCCUAAGGAGACAGUGGCCUAAUGCAAGAGCCUCUCCAUGUGAUGGCUGCCUUCCUCAAAACCAGCAAGGUGAGGACCAGGAGAGUCCACCAGCAAGGUGGAAAUCAGGAUCUUAUGUAAUGUAAGCCUAGAAGUGCUGCUUCAUCACAGGCUACAUAUUCAAUGAGAAGCAAGUCAUAAGCCUGCCACAUUCAAAGAGAGGGGUUUUAGCAGGUAGGUAGGAAGAGUCACCUUUGUCUGCCUACUACACCCUAUCACCCAGUUCAUGGCUAAGUCUCAUGAACCCUGCCUCCAAAAUGCCCUGGAUCAAUCCACAUCUCCCCACAACCAUGAGCCACACUCCAGAUCCAGGCACCCCCUCUCAUUGGGCUGUUCUUGGUCCUUUGGUUUCAUUCUUUC
rnacentral:lncRNA from 1 species